rnacentral:rRNA from 1 species
GGACCCGCACAAGCGGUGGAGCGUGAUCUUUAAUUCGAUGGUAAACGAUAAACCUUACCAAGGCUUGACAUCUAGGGAAGGCCUUCGAAAGAAGACUGUGCCUUUUAGGAGCCCUAAGACAGGUGAUGCAUGGCCGUCGUCAGCUCGUGUCGUGAGAUGUUUGGUUAAGUCCAUCAACGAGCGCAACCCUUGCAACUAGUUGUAUUUUUCUAGUUGGACUGCCCCGGUAACGGGGAGGAAGGAGGGGACGAUGUCAGGUCAGUAUUUCCCUUACGCCUUGGGCGAGAAUCGCGCUACAAUGGCUAGUACAAUGCGAAGCGAAGCCGCGAGGUGAAGCAAAUCGCAUCAAAGCUAGUCCCAGUUCGGAUAGGAGGCUGAAACUCGCCUUCUUGAAGUCGGAAUCGCUAGUAAUCGCAGAUCAGCAUGUUG